GCCCUCACUCACUCCCCCGCCUGACGGGGAAUGUAAGGGAACAGCUCCCCCGCGGCCAUGACACCCGCCCGCGCCUCCCGAUGACGUCAUCCCCACGCGACACCGACGCCGGAUCCCCACCCGGUGCUGCACCCCGGCAGCGCUGCGGGACGGCGACAACCACCCUGCAGUGUCCGUGAGGAGACAACAGGGGUGGAGCCGCCCCGCCGAACCGGGCAGAAGCCGCUGGCAGGCACCGCUCCGCAGUCGCGCCGCUGAGACUACAACUCCCGGCGUGCCCCGGGGCAGCGGCGCAUGGAGCGCGCUGAUUGGCCCGCGGGGGUGCGGGGGGGCAGCGCAGCGCGGGCGCCCCCAUGUGGCGGCUCGGCCGGGCCGGGACCCCCCCGGGAUAGCCCGGGACAAACCAGGACAAACCGGGAUAACCCGGGACAAACCGGAACAGCUCGGCUGCCUCCCGCUCCCGUGCCACGGGCCUCGCCCGGGCUGCCUGAAGGGACCCCGUGCUGAGUGUGGUGGCUGGCAACGGGGCCAGAUGACGGUGAGCGGGAGGAGCUCUGGGACACAGCAGGGAGAUUCCUCCCUUCCCAGGCAGCCUCUGGCAGGCAGGUGAGGUGGAAGUGUCACUUGGAAGGGUGCUGGGAGCUUCUUCAGCGACCAACUUCCAAUAGUGUCCUGUUUGUUGACUGUAAUCUUAGUGCUGGAACACGAUGGGAAUGUUAACAAAAUUCCCGUAAUCUUCAUGGAGAGAGCUGUAAAGGACAGCAUCCCUCAAAGUGCAACAGAACUGAAAUUGCAGCUGAUUAACCUUUGAUUUAUUUCCUGGUUUAUGGUAUAACACAAGUUUUUUCAGGUGAAAUAAAGAUGCUUUUUUAA